CAGUCGCCGCGGUAAUACGUAGGUGGCAAGCGUUGUCCGGAAUUAUUGGGCGUAAAGGGCUCGCAGGCGGUUUCUUAAGUCUGAUGUGAAAGCCCCCGGCUCAACCGGGGAGGGUCAUUGGAGACUGGGAAACUUGAGUGCAGAAGAGGAGAGUGGAAUUCCACGUGUAGCGGUGAAAUGCGUAGAGAUGUGGAGGAACACCAGUGGCGAAGGCGACUCUCUGGUCUGUAACUGACGCUGAGGAGCGAAAGCGUGGGGAGCAAACAGGAUUAGAUACCCCCGUAGUCCCUGUCUCUUAUAC
rnacentral:rRNA from 1 species